rnacentral:tRNA from 1 species
GCCUCACUGGCUCAGUCGGUUGAGCGUCCGACUUCAGCUCAGGUCACGAUCUCGCGGUCCGUGGGUUCGAGCCCCGCGUUGGGCU